rnacentral:rRNA from 1 species
AGUCUGUUCGACUUUUAAAAAAUUACAUGAAUUGAGUUCAGACCGGUGUAAACCAGGUCGGUUUCUAUCUUUUACAUAUUUCUUCUAGUACGAAAGGACCUAAGAAAAUAAUAUUA